AAGAUAGCGGUAUCCCGAGUAGGGCGGGACACGAGAAAUCCUGCCUGAAUUCGCCAGGACCUCCUGGCAAGGCUAAAUACUCCCGAGAGACCGAUAGUGAACCAGUACCGCGAGGGAAAGGUGAAAAGUACCCCGAGCAGGGGGGUGAAAUAGACCCUGAACCCGCGCGCCUACAAGCGGUCGGAGCCAUGAAAUAUGGUGACGGCGUGCCUUUUGCAUAAUGAGCCUACGAGUUAGUCGUCACCAGCGAGGUUAAGGGCUUCAGGCCCGUUAGCCGAAGUGAAAGCGAGCCUUAACAGGGCGUCGAGUUGGUGGCGCUAGACGCGAAACCUUGUGAUCUACCCACGAGCAGGUUGAAGUCGCGGUAACACGUGAUGGAGGACCGAACCGGUAAACGUUGAAAAGUUUUCGGAUGACUCGCGGGUAGGGGUGAAAGGCCAAUCAAACUGGGAAAUAGCUCGUACUCUCCGAAAUGCAUUUCGGUGCAGCCUGUGAUGUUCUGUUCCAGAGGUAGAGCUACUGGUUGGACGCGAGGGCUUCACCGCCUAUCAAAUCCGGAUAAACUCCGAAUGCUGGAACACGAAAUCAUGGAGUGAGCCCGCGGGUGCUAAGGUCCGCGGACGAGAGGGAAAGAACCCGGACCACCGGCUAAGGUCCCGGAUGGACAGUUAAGUUGAUCAAACGAGGUGGGAUCGCUGAGACAGCUAGGAUGUUGGCUUGGAAGCAGCCAUUCAUUUAAAGAGUGCGUAACAGCUCACUAGUCGAGCGAUCCCGCGUGGAUAAUACACGGGCAUCAAACUGUCAACCGAAGCCGUGGGGUUAGUUAAUGACUAACCGGUAGGAGAGCAUUCCUGCCAGCUUUGAAGGUCACCCGCGAGAGUGACUGGAGCGGCAUGAAAAGCAAAUGUAGGCAUAAGUAACGAUAAUGGGGGCGAGAACCCCCCACGCCGCAAGACCAAGGAUUCCCCGGCAAUGUCAAUCAGCCGGGGGUCAGCCGGCCUCUAAGGCUCACCCGAAAGGGGAUGCCGACGAGAAACGGGUUAACAUUCCCGUGCUUCUCGUCACCGUGACGCGGUGACGGGGUGAUGAAUGGACCGCGCGCUGACGGAAUAGCGCGUUGAAGGCCGUACCCGAUGAGGGUGGUAGUCAAGCACGCCACCCGAGGCGAGAGCCGAUAGUACCACGAGACUCCGGUCGAGUGGAUAGCGUCCAGGCAAUUUACCCCCUAGAAAACCCGCUAAACUUCAAGUGACGAGGAACCGUACUGUAAACGGACACACGUGGUCGGGUAGAACAUACCAAGGCGCUCGAGUGAUUCAUGGUCAAGGAACUAGGCAAAAUAGUCCUGUAACUUAGGGAUAAAGGACGCUCUAGUGAUAGAGCCGCAGAGUAAUGGCCCAGGCGACUGUUUACCAAAAACACAUGGCUAUGCCAAAUCGAAAGAUGACGUAUAUGGCCUGACACCUGCCCGGUGCCGGAAGGUUAAGAGGAGAGCUCAUCGGAAACGAGAAGGUUUGAAUUGAAGCCCCGGUAAACGGCGGCCGUAACUAUAACGGUCCUAAGGUAGCGAAAUUCCUUGUCGGGUAAGUUCCGACCUGCACGAAUGGUGUAACGAUCUGGGCACUGUCUCGACCAUGAGCUCGGUGAAAUUGUAGUUCCGGUGAAGAUGCCGG
rnacentral:rRNA from 1 species